rnacentral:rRNA from 1 species
UACGUAGGGGGCUAGCGUUGUCCGGAAUCAUUGGGCGUAAAGAGCGUGUAGGCGGCCCGGUAAGUCCGCUGUAAAAGUCAAAGGCUCAACCUUUGAAUGUCAGUGGAUACUGCCCGGGCUAGAGUCCGGAAGAGGCGAGUGGAACUCCUGGUGUAGCGGUGGAAUGCGCAGAUAUCAGGAAGAACACCCGUGGCGAAGGCGGCUCUCUGGGACGGUACUGACGCUGAGACGCGAAAGCGUGGGGAGCGAACAGG